ensembl:lncRNA
AUUUUUAAAAAACCAAUGUCUGUGCCCUCCCUCGAACCAAUUAAAUCAGAAGUUCUGGGAAUAGAUCCCAGGUAUAGGUGAUAUAAAAAUCUUCCCAGGUGAUUAUAAUACCUACUUUUGAGAGCAACUAUCCUUGAAGUAGAAGCAAUAGCUUAGCCAAUUGAAAUUGGGGUUGAUGGAAAUUCCAAGUGGAAGCAUCAAUGCCCACAAAGACAAGACCAUGAGAUGGAGCAGAGCACGUAGGAGAACGGGGCACAAUUUCCUUAUGAAACUCAUGGAGUGGGGCUGGAUCAGCAAUUAGCUCCUUUCUACCUGGAAAAUCAUGGAAUGCUAUGUCUUUUGUGGAUCCAUACAAUUCUUUAAUAUCAACUCCAUGGAAGUGGUGGGAGAAUUUUCCUGUUGUUUGCAGAAGGAAAUAAGAAUCAAGGAGUGGAAAGUGCCAGGGCAGAUUUCUGCAUGAACUUACCUGUCAGGUGGACAAAGAAUUCUCUGUGCAUCCUUUAAGGCCCAGACGUAGCACUACCUCUUCAUGAUCCAUGUUGAUAAACAGAACUCCCAUGCCAAGAAUAGUGCAUUGGGUGAGAGGAUUUCAUGGAGGCAUCUUUUUGGAUUCCACAACGAGGGCCAAGCAGCAUAAAGUCAAGAGGUUGCAUGCCAGUUUCUUAAAUGGUCACUGGGAAACUGUAAGAUCCUGUUUAUUCACUAAAUAUAGUUCUUAAGAACAUUAAUCUAAGCCUGAAAGAUGAAUACAUCUGGGUCCACUGCUCCCUUGCGGUGCUAUUUAGUUACUCUGUCACUUAAAAAUGGCUCAGGCAAUGAAGUUCAAAGACUCCUUCUCUUUCCACUCCCACCCCUUUAUACAUCAUAUAAUCUAGCAAUGUCAUGAUUUUUUGACUGACUUGUGGCUCAUUUGUGUUGAAUAACCAGGUACCGAUUAUCUAGUUUCCUGUCUCCACAGGAAAUCACACCUUCUGGAAAAAUCAAUUUGUUCAAUAUCUUUUAGUCAUUUAUAAUCAGAUUAAGAAAUAAAAUAGAUUUUUGGUAAAGACUCAAUAAUUCUUAUUUUAUUAAUCUGAAACCCAGGUAUUCCCAUAAAACUGCUAAGCAAUGAUAUCCAUUUCCUAGGAAAGAAUUAACCAAUUUUCUGAAAUGUUCUACAAGAUCAGUAGCAUAAUACUACCAACAUUAUCUUAACUAAUUGAAGCUAGAUUGCACCUGUCAAAAUAAAUUAAUAAAAUAUAUUUGAGAAUGCAGUUUCUAUGAUUUCUAAUGUACAUAUUCAUUGAAUUUCUAAUUUACAUGUUUUGAUAACCCACUAUGGACCUCUCAGGGUCUCACUUCUAGUUGUCAAAGUUCCUGUGGAGAUCAUUAAACACAAGUUUGCUUUCUAUUUUGAACUUAAUAAAACCUGUUAGUCCUCUUUGUUCAAAGGAGGCUUUCAUUCAAUUCCAUUACUUCUUGUUUUUUCUAUUUAGUGUUGCAAAAUAAUUGUAAUAUGCUUAGGUGUGAUUAUACCUCAUUAGGACAAGUUCUUUUUUAUCAUUUAUAUAGUUAGGUAGGUAUCUCAACAAAAUGAAGCAGGCAUGUGAUAACCCCCAUAAAGAAGAAGAAAUCCCAUAACAGGUACAUAUUGCAUUUCUUAAGAAUUACAUUUUCUUCUACUGAGUGUAAGCUCCAUGAGGAUAGCAGCUGUUUUUAGCUUGUUCAUGACUGUAUACCAUUGCCUUGUCCAGUGCUGGAUAUAAUAAGUGCUCAGAAAAAUUAUCAAAUAAAUGACGUUGUUAACCUUGUUUU